CUCUCUCAAAUUUCCCCUUCCUCCGGGAAGAAGAAGAACAAAAGGAAGGCGUGGCUGCUGCUGCUGUAAAGGAAGAGCUGCUUAAAGAUGUUGUUGGGGAAGAGACCUAGGGGUCCAAUGAAGAGAACAACAAGUAUGUCAGAGAUCACCUUUGAUUUAGACUCUGAAUCAGCUCCACCGUCGUCUGAUCCGCACAUCGCCCAUAAACAGAUGGCGGGUUUUGGUGCCCAGCUAGAUCAACGGUUCUUGGUUGCCACCGUAUCACCCAGAACCCAUAGAAGGGCUUCCGCUGAUUUCUUGGAGACUGCUCACUUCCUGAGGGCUUGCACCCUCUGCAAGCGCCGCUUGGUCCCUGGCCGUGACAUCUACAUGUACAGGUACCUAAACUUCAUCAAUAUCAAUUUCAAGCUCUUUAAACUUAGUUCUUUUUCUUAUUAACUUGGUGGGAUUAUUAGAUACCACACAAAAUAAUGCUUUUUUUUUUUUUUUUCUCUCCUCCGUAAUCUCUGAGUCUUUCAUGUGCUAAAUUUGUUUUAAUUGUUGUUUGGCUUAGGGGGGAUAGUGCUUUCUGCAGUCUAGAGUGUAGGCAACAGCAAAUGAACCAAGAUGAGAGGAAAGAGAAGUGCUCAUUAUUAGCGUCGAAGAAAGAAGUUGUUGCAACCUCCACCACCGCACCAGAAGUCUCCACUAAAGGCGAGACAGUUGCCGCUUUAUAGAGUCACCAGUAACCAGCCCAGAGUGGAAAAUGAUUUCACCCGCUUAAUUCUAUAAAUAUAUAUAAUUUGAAGUUGUAGAAUUAUAUAUAUGUAUAUGCAAGUGGGUUUGCUUCUGCUAGCUUUUGUAUGCAAAUCAAU
rnacentral:lncRNA from 1 species